CGGUAGGGGAGAUUGGAAUUCCUGGUGUAGCGGUGGAAUGCGCAGAUAUCAGGAGGAACACCGAUGGCGAAGGCAGAUCUCUGGGCCGUAACUGACGCUGAGGAGCGAAAGCGUGGGGAGCGAACAGGAUUAGAUACCCUGGUAGUCCACGCCGUAAACGGUGGGCGCUAGAUGUGGGGACCAUUCCACGGUUUCCGUGUCGCAGCUAACGCAUUAAGCGCCCCGCCUGGGGAGUACGGCCGCAAGGCUAAAACUCAAAGGAAUUGACGGGGGCCCGCACAAGCGGCGGAGCAUGCGGAUUAAUUCGAUGCAACGCGAAGAACCUUACCAAGGCUUGACAUACACGAGAACGGGCCAGAAAUGGUCAACUCUUUGGACACUCGUGAACAGGUGGUGCAUGGUUGUCGUCAGCUCGUGUCGUGAGAUGUUGGGUUAAGUCCCGCAACGAGCGCAACCCUCGUCCUAUGUUGCCAGCACGUUAUGGUGGGAACUCAUGGGAGACUGCCGGGGUCAACUCGGAGGAAGGUGGGGAUGACGUCAAAUCAUCAUGCCCCUUAUGUCUUGGGCUUCACGCAUGCUACAAUGGCCGGUACAAAGGGCUGCGAUACCGUAAGGUGGAGCGAAUCCCAAAAAGCCGGUCUCAGUUCGGAUUGAGGUCUGCAACUCGACCUCAUGAAGUUGGAGUCGCUAGUAAUCGCAGAUCAGCAACGCUGCGGAUAC
rnacentral:rRNA from 1 species